rnacentral:rRNA from 1 species
ACUCCUACGGGAGGCAGCAGUGGGGAAUAUUGCACAAUGGGCGCAAGCCUGAUGCAGCCAUGCCGCGUGUAUGAAGAAGGCCUUGGGUUGUAAAGUACUUUCAGCAGUGAGGAAGGGUGGAUAUGUUAAUAGCAUAUUCUAUUUGUACGUUAGCUGCAGAAGAAGCACCGGCUAACUCCGUGCCAGCAGCCGCGGUAAUACGGAGGGUGCGAGCGUUAAUCGGAAUUACGUGGCGUAAAGCGCAUGCAGGUGGUUUGUUAAGUCAGAUGUGAAAGCCCGGGCGUCAACCUCGGAAUUGCAUUUGAAACUGGCAAACUAGAGUACUGUAGAGGGGGUUAGAAUUUCAGGUGUAGCGGUGAAAUGCGUAGAGAUCUGAAGG